CCUUCCCAGAAGGGGAACAGAAGGCACUGGCCUUAGGAGCUGUAUGGCUCUGGGGCCUUCUAUGUUCUGAUUCCACUUCAGUCUUUUGGCUCAGGAACUGGUAUUGGUAUGGCAGCAUACAUCUAAUGUCCCCGCUGUUGUCCUGCAUCUCAGCCUGACCAUCUCUGGCAGCAGAGGCUUGUGCCUGUGGGACACUCAUGACAGAUGCAUGCCUGGAAGAUGUUCCCGUGAAUUCUGCCAUGGGAUGAUGACAGCCUACUUCAUGGAAGCCUCUGCUUUGUCAAGUAGAACCAUCUAUGGUGCUGGAAGUCAGUGGAAGGCUUGGCAUAACCAAGAAAUGAAGUCAUGGAGGUGGAGUAUAGGGAACAAACUCUAA
rnacentral:lncRNA from 1 species